GAUGAACGCUGGCGGCGUGCCUAAUACAUGCAAGUCGAGCGAACAGACGAGGAGCUUGCUCCUCUGACGUUAGCGGCGGACGGGUGAGUAACACGUGGAUAACCUACCUAUAAGACUGGGAUAACUUCGGGAAACCGGAGCUAAUACCGGAUAAUAUAUUGAACCGCAUGGUUCAAUAGUGAAAGACGGUUUUGCUGUCACUUAUAGAUGGAUCCGCGCCGCAUUAGCUAGUUGGUAAGGUAACGGCUUACCAAGGCAACGAUGCGUAGCCGACCUGAGAGGUGGAUCGGCCACACUGGAACUGAGACACGGUCCAUACUCCUACGGGAGGCAGCAGUAGGGAAUCUUCCGCAAUGGGCGAAAGCCUGACGGAGCAACGCCGCGUGAGUGAUGAAGGUCUUCGGAUCGUAAAACUCUGUUAUUAGGGAAGAACAAAUGUGUAAGUAACUAUGCACGUCUUGACGGUACCUAAUCAGAAAGCCACGGCUAACUACGUG
rnacentral:rRNA from 1 species